rnacentral:rRNA from 1 species
AAAGAUUAAUACCUGAUAGUAUGGUGAGAUUGCAUGAUAACACCAUUAAAGAUUUAUUGGUAAACGAUGGGGAUGCGUUCCAUUAGAUAGUAGGCGGGGUAACGGCCCACCUAGUCUUCGAUGGAUAGGGGGUUCUGAGAGGAAGGUCCCCCACAUUGGAACUGAGACACGGUCCAAACUCCUACGGGAGGCAGCAGUGAGGAAUAUUGGUCAAUGGGCGAGAGCCUGAACCAGCCAAGUAGCGUGAAGGAUGACUGCCCUAUGGGUUGUAAACUUCUUUAUAAAGGAAUAAAGUCGGGUAUGGAUACCCGUUUGCAUGUACUUUAUGAAUAAGGAUCGGCUAACUCCGUG